GUCGGUGUAGGAAAGCUGGUUAAUCCGCUGCAUUCAGGUUGCAGUGCCUUUGGCUCAUGGGUUCGAAUCCCAUCGCCGACA
rfam:Capsaspora owczarzaki ATCC 30864 unplaced genomic scaffold supercont2.13, whole genome shotgun sequence.